CAGCUCUUGACAUCCUUAGACCGCCCUAGAGAUAGGGUUUCGCCUUCGGGGCCAAAGAGACAGGCGCUGCAUGGCUGUCGUCAGCUCGUGUUGUGAAAUGUUGGGUUAAGUCCCGUAACGAGCGCAACCCUUAUUGUUAGUUGCCAGCAUUCAGUUGGGCACUCUAGCAAGACUGCCGGUGACAAACCGGAGGAAGGCGGGGAUGACGUCAAAUCAUCAUGCCCCUUAUGACCUGGGCUACACACGUGCUACAAUGGGAAGUACAACGAGCGCGCCAAGCCGCAAGGCCGAGCGAAUCUCUGAAAGCUUCUCUCAGUUCGGAUUGCAGGCUGCAACUCGCCUGCAUGAAGCCGGAAUCGCUAGUAAUCGCGGAUCAGCAUGCCGCGGUGAAUCCGUUCCCGGGCC
rnacentral:rRNA from 1 species